rnacentral:rRNA from 1 species
GCAGUCGAGCGGAGAGAGGUAGCUUGCUACUGAUCUUAGCGGCGGACGGGUGAGUAAUACUUAGGAAUCUGCCUAUUAGUGGGGGACAACAUCUCGAAAGGGAUGCUAAUACCGCAUACGUCCUACGGGAGAAAGCAGGGGAUCUUUAUGACCUUGCGCUAAUAGAUGAGCCUAAGUCGGAUUAGCUAGUUGGUGGGGUAAAGGCCUACCAAGGCGACGAUCUGUAGCGGGUCUGAGAGGAUGAUCCGCCACACUGGGACUGAGACACGGCCCAGACUCCUACGGGAGGCAGCAGUGGGGAAUAUUGGACAAUGGGGGGAACCCUGAUCCAGCCAUGCCGCGUGUGUGAAGAAGGCCUUAUGGUUGUAAAGCACUUUAAGCGAGGAGGAGGCUUACCUGGUUAAUACCCAGGAUAAGUGGACGUUACUCGCAGAAUAAGCACCGGCUAACUCUGUGCCAGCAGCCGCGGUAAUACAGAGGGUGCAAGCGUUAAUCGGAUUUACUGGGCGUAAAGCGCGCGUAGGCGGCCAAUUAAGUCAAAUGUGAAAUCCCCGAGCUUAACUUGGGAAUUGCAUUCGAUACUGUUUGGCUAGAGUGUGGGAGAGGAUGGUAGAAUUCCAGGUGUAGCGGUGAAAUGCGUAGAGAUCUGGAGGAAUACCGAUGGCGAAGGCAGCCAUCUGGCCUAACACUGACGCUGAGGUGCGAAAGCAUGGGGAGCAAACAGGAUUAGAUACCCUGGUAGUCCAUGCCGUANACGAUGUCUACUAGCCGUUGGGGCCUUUGAGGCUUUAGUGGCGCAGCUAACGCGAUAAGUAGACCGCCUGGGGAGUACGGUCGCAAGACUAAAACUCAAAUGAAUUGACGGGGGCCCGCACAAGCGGUGGAGCAUGUGGUUUAAUUCGAUGCAC